rnacentral:rRNA from 1 species
GAUGAACGCUAGCGGCAGGCCUAAUACAUGCAAGUCGAACGAGAUUAAGAGGCUUGCUUCUUAUGAAAGUGGCGCACGGGUGCGUAACGCGUAUGCAACCUACCUUAAUCAGGGGGAUAGCCCGAAGAAAUUCGGAUUAAGACCGCAUAAAAACACAGGAUAGCAUUAUCCAAUGUUCAAAUAUUUAUAGGAUUAAGAUGGGCAUGCGUGUCAUUAGCUAGUUGGCGGGUAACGCCCACCAAGGCGACGAUGACUAGGGAUCUGAGAGGAUGACCCCCCACACUGGUACUGAGACACGGACCAGACUCCUACGGGAGGCAGCAGUAAGGAUAUUGGUCAAUGGAGGGAACUCUGAACCAGCCAUGCCGCGUGCAGGAAGACAGCCCUCUGGGUCGUAAACUGCUUUUUAUCGGGAAUAAACCUUUCUACGUGUAGGAAGCUGAAUGUACCGAAGGAAUAAGGAUCGGCUAACUCCGUGCCAGCAGCCG